rnacentral:tRNA from 1 species
GCGUCAGUAGCAAAGUGGUUAGGAAUCUCACUGCCCAUGCAAAUGGUCCGGGGUUCGAUCCCCUGCUGACGCA